rnacentral:rRNA from 1 species
GACGAACGCUGGCGGCGUGCUUAACACAUGCAAGUCGAACGGAAAGGCCCUGCUUUUGUGGGGUGCUCGAGUGGCGAACGGGUGAGUAACACGUGAGUAACCUGCCCUUGACUUUGGGAUAACUUCAGGAAACUGGGGCUAAUACCGGAUAGGAGCUCCUGCUGCAUGGUGGGGGUUGGAAAGUUUCGGCGGUUGGGGAUGGACUCGCGGCUUAUCAGCUUGUUGGUGGGGUAGUGGCUUACCAAGGCUUUGACGGGUAGCCGGCCUGAGAGGGUGACCGGCCACAUGGGGACUGGGAUACGGCCCAGACCCCUAGGGGGGGCAGCGGUGGGGAAUUUUGCCAAAGGGGCGGAAGCCUGAUGCAGCAACCCCGCGGGGGGGAUGCCGGCCUUGGGGUUGUAAACCGCUUUCGCCUGUGACGAAGCGUGAGUGGCGGUAAUGGGAAAAAAAGCCCCGGCUAACUGCGU